UACGGGGGGGGCAAGCGUUGUUCGGAAUUACUGGGCGUAAAGGGUUCGUAGGUGGCUUGUUAAGUUGGAUGUGAAAUCUCCUGGCUUAACCGGGAGGCGCCAUUCAAAACUGGGGAGCUUGAGGUCAGCAGGGGAAGGUGGAAUUCCCGGUGUAGUGGUGGAAUGCGUAGAGAUCGGGAGGAACACCAGUGGCGAAAGCGACCUUCUGGGCUGCACCUGACACUCUAGUGCGAAAGCGUGGGGAGCAAACAGG
rnacentral:rRNA from 1 species